UGGGGAAUCUUGCACAAUGGGGGAAACCCUGAUGCAGCGACGCCGCGUGCGGGACGAAGGCCCUAGGGUUGUAAACCGCUUUCAGCAGGGACGAAAGUGACGGUACCUGCAGAAGAAGCCCCGGCCAACUAUGUGCCAGCAGCCGCGGUGAUACAUAGGGGGCGAGCGUUGUCCGGAUUUACUGGGCGUAAAGAGCUCGUAGGCGGUUUACCAAGUCAGAAGUGAAAUCUCCAUGCUCAACAUGGAGCGG
rnacentral:rRNA from 1 species